GUAUUGGUGGUUCAGUGAUAGAAUUCUUGCCUUCCAUUUGGGAGACCUGGGUUCAAUCCUUGGCCAAUGCA
rnacentral:tRNA from 1 species